rnacentral:rRNA from 1 species
UGGGGAAUAUUGGACAAUGGGGGAAACUCUGAUCCAGCAAUGCCGCGUGAGUGAAGAAGGCCUUAGGGUUGUAAAGCUCUUUCGCCCGCGAAGAUAAUGACGGUAGCGGGAGAAGAAGCCCCGGCUAACUCCGUGCCAGCAGCCGCGGUAAUACGGAGGGGGCUAGCGUUGUUCGGAAUUACUGGGCGUAAAGCGUACGUAGGCGGAUGCGCAAGUUGGGGGUGAAAUCCCGGGGCUUAACCUCGGAAUUGCCCUCAAAACUGCACGUCUUGAGACCGAGAGAGGUAAGGGGAAUUCCUAGUGUAGAGGUGAAAUUCGUAGAUAUUAGGAAGAACACCAGUGGCGAAGGCGCCUUACUGGCUCGGUACUGACGCUGAGGUACGAAAGCGUGGGGAGCAAACA